UGCAGUCGAACGCUGAAGCACCAGCUUGCUGGUGUGGAUGAGUGGCGAACGGGUGAGUAAUACGUGAGUAACCUGCCCUUGACUCUGGGAUAAGCCCGGGAAACUGGGUCUAAUACUGGAUGCUACAUGUCACCGCAUGGUGGUGUGUGGAAAGGGUUUACUGGUCUUGGAUGGGCUCACGGCCUAUCAGCUUGUUGGUGAGGUAAUGGCUCACCAAGGCGACGACGGGUAGCCGGCCUGAGAGGGUGACCGGCCACACUGGGACUGAGACACGGCCCAGACUCCUACGGGAGGCAGCAGUGGGGAAUAUUGCACAAUGGGCGAAAGCCUGAUGCAGCGACGCCGCGUGAGGGAUGACGGCCUUCGGGUUGUAAACCUCUUUCAGCAGGGAAGAAGCCACAAGUGACGGUACCUGCAGAAGAAGCGCCGGCUAACUACGUGCCAGCAGCCGCGGUAAUACGUAGGGCGCAAGCGUUGUCCGGAAUUAUUGGGCGUAAAGAGCUCGUAGGCGGUUUGUCGCGUCUGCUGUGAAAGCCCGGGGCUUAACCCCGGGUGUGCAGUGGGUACGGGCAGACUAGAGUGCAGUAGGGGAGACUGGAAUUCCUGGUGUAGCGGUGGAAUGCGCAGAUAUCAGGAGGAACACCGAUGGCGAAGGCAGGUCUCUGGGCUGUUACUGACGCUGAGGAGCGAAAGCAUGGGGAGCGAACAGGAUUAGAUACCCUGGUAGUCCAUGCCGUAAACGUUGGGCACUAGGUGUGGGGGACAUUCCACGUUUUCCGCGCCGUAGCUAACGCAUUAAGUGCCCCGCCUGGGGAGUACGGCCGCAAGGCUAAAACUCAAAGGAAUUGACGGGGGCCCGCACAAGCGGCGGAGCAUGCGGAUUAAUUCGAUGCAACGCGAAGAACCUUACCA
rnacentral:rRNA from 1 species